AAAUUUCUUCGGGGCAGGGUGCGAUUCCCUACCGGCGGUGAUAGUCCGCGACUCCUUUUAAAAAAAAGGACUGAUCUGGUGAAAUUCCAGAACCGACAGUAAAGUCUGGAUGAGAGAGGAGAACC
rnacentral:ncRNA from 2 species